GCCCUCUUAGCUCAGGGGUAGAGCGCUUGUCUCGUAAACAAGAGGUCGCUAGUUCAAUUCUGGCAGUGGGCA
rnacentral:tRNA from 1 species